rnacentral:rRNA from 1 species
UCCAGACUCCUACGGGAGGCAGCAGUGGGGAAUAUUGCACAAUGGGCGCAAGCCUGAUGCAGCCAUGCCGCGUGUGUGAAGAAGGCCUUAGGGUUGUAAAGCACUUUCAGCGAGGAGGAAGGCAUCACACUUAAUACGUGUGGUGAUUGACGUUACUCGCAGAAGAAGCACCGGCUAACUCCGUGCCAGCAGCCGCGGUAAUACGGAGGGUGCAAGCGUUAAUCGGAAUUACUGGGCGUAAAGCGCACGCAGGCG